UAUUAACUCUGAUUUAAUGAGAUUUAAGGGGGGAGGAAUAAAUGGGAUCCUAGUAUCAGAUCUCUCUCCUCUUCUCCCUCUUCUGUCCUUCCCCACCCCCGGGGCCCCUUCUUCCCCGGCCCCCAUCCAUAAGCAAGGGCCCAGCCAUCUCCUGACAGUGUUGUGCCAGAAUCUGGCUGCCUAGCAACCAAACCCAGCCUGUCACCAUGGCAAAGAGCUGAGCAAGUGAAAGACAAGAGGUAAGGAUAUUGUGGAUCAGAGAGAUGAAGUGAUUGAUCCAGUCACAGAUUCACAGAAUUUGAGACUGAAGGAAGCUCCAGGCCAACUCAUACAUAAGAGGAAUCCCUGUUAUAAUAUAACUGACAAGUGGUCAUCUAUCCUUUGCCUGGGGUCCAACAAGAUCCUGCUGCCUUGAAGACCAAACAACUCUGGCAAAGAGCACAGAGACUGAACAUUGAACCAACACACAAAGUGUGGAGAAAAGAAAAGUAUGGAGAAAAGAACUCUGAUUUUUACCAAGCAGAGGAAAGUCAAGGGAAUUUAAGGGAGAGGAACUAUGAGAGGAUGGGGGAAGGGCGGGAUCUUCUGAUUGUUACAAUUAUCUCCCAGACAUGAGACCUUACAAUUCAGUUUAAGCAAGGGCUCUUGGCAAGGUGAAUUAUUGAUAGGGGAGGCUCCAGAGAUGAGACUGAGAUCUUUUUUGUUGUUGUUAAUUAUAAUCCGGAUAAGAAUGUUGAAUUAAUGAUGAGCCUGCCACACACCUGUGAAAUUUAACAGCUCAAUCUCCCCCAACAAAUGGUCUCUUUUUAGACAGCCUCUCCCGGAGUUUGGCUCAGGGCCCUCCUCUCUUGAUUAAAAAAAAAAAAAAAAAAGCCAAGCAAACAACUCUGCCACCGCUAAAGCCAAGAUAUGUUACAGAUAGUGAGACAAGACUGGAACCAUUUUGGGGGAGUAGAGUAGGGGAGAUGUUGGUUGUGUUUGAGAAGCAGCCAGGGAAACACCCCCAAUUCCAAAGUUUCAUGUAAGCCAUGAUAGGGACCCAAAGCAAUCCAGCAAGUUAAAAACUAUGAAGUGUGGGAAAAAAAUUAUUAGCUCUCAAGUCAGCCCCCUUCUUUACUUCUGCAGAGUUGGAGAGCUGUUUUAAGAUGGUUUCUGAGCAAAGUCCCAUGGGGGACUGAAAUGCGGAAGUCUCCACCUUGGUCCUGCUAAGAGCUAGAAUGACAUCCACCUUCCAGUUAAUCCUUCUGGGGCAUGGAUUUAGUUCAUAAAGGCAGAGGGGGCCACCAACUUUGACCCUCAUCUAUUCCCAGAAGACACUGGGCCACAAUCCCACUAGGGGACCACAGCAUCAUCACAGUUACAUCAGACUACCCUACCUACCGCCUGGAGGAUACUCUUAUAAGAUGGGAGAAACCAUAACUAUCUCGGGUAAUUUACCUAAAGGUGCCAGGCCACCCCUUAUCUGCCAUCCAGCCCAGCAUCUUCAGGAGGGGCAAUCUCCCGUAUCUCAAAGGCAAGAAACACCUGCCCACUCAUAGCCAGAGAAACAGACAGGAGGGACAGACAGACGUAGCUUCUUCCUGAGUGUAAGGAAUCACAGAACCGAGGAACUUGGAGGGGACUUUAACGCUCAGUCUGGAACACAAGGGGCUAUUUCCCCCAAAUUAAAAAGUACCUCCCUC